rnacentral:rRNA from 1 species
AGAGUUUGAUCCUGGCUCAGGAUGAACGCUGGCGGCGUGCUUAACACAUGCAAGUCGAACGGGCUCAUAUUGAAACCUAGUGAUUUAUGAGUUAGUGGCGGACGGGUGAGUAACGCGUGGAAAACCUGCCGUAUACUGGGGGAUAACACUUAGAAAUAGGUGCUAAUACCGCAUAAGCGCACAGCUUCGCAUGAAGUGGUGUGAAAAACUCUGGUGGUAUACGAUGGUUCCGCGUCUGAUUAGCUUGUUGGCGGGGUAAUGGCUCACCAAGGCGACGAUCAGUAGCCGGCCUGAGAGGGUGAACGGCCACAUUGGGACUGAGACACGGCCCAAACUCCUACGGGAGGCAGCAGUGGGGAAUAUUGCACAAUGGGGGAAACCCUGAUGCAGCGACGCCGCGUGAGUGAAGAAGUAUUUCGGUAUGUAAAGCUCUAUCAGCAGGGAAGAAAAUGACGGUACCUGAUUAAGAAGCCCCGGCUAACUACGUGCCAGCAGCC